rnacentral:tRNA from 1 species
GGAGAGGUGUCCGAGUGGUCUAAGGGGCGUGCCUGGAAAGCACGUGCAGUCGCAAGGCUGCCGUGGGUUCAAAUCCCACCCUCUCCGCCA